ensembl:rRNA 5S_rRNA 5S ribosomal RNA
GUCUCAGGCCGUAUCAGGCCUGAAGGCGCCCGAUCUCGUCUGAUCUCGGAAGCUAAGCAGGGUCGGGCCUGUUUAGUAUCUUGGAUGGGAGACCACCUGGGAAUCCCGGGUGCUCGAGGCU